UGGGGAAUCUUAGACAAUGGGGGAAACCCUGAUCUAGCCAUGCCGCGUGAGCGAUGAAGGCCUUAGGGUUGUAAAGCUCUUUCACCGGGGAAGAUAAUGACGGUACCCGGAGAAGAAGCCCCGGCUAACUCCGUGCCAGCAGCCGCGGUAAUACGGAGGGGGCUAGCGUUGUUCGGAAUUACUGGGCGUAAAGCGCACGUAGGCGGAUUGGAAAGUCAGAGGUGAAAUCCCAGGGCUCAACCCUGGAACUGCCUUUGAAACUCCCAGUCUUGAGGUCGAGAAAGGUGAGUGGAAUUCCGAGUGUAGAGGUGAAAUUCGUAGAUAUUCGGAGGAACACCAGUGGCGAAGGCGGCUCACUGGCUCGAUACUGACGCUGAGGUGCGAAAGCGUGGGGAGCAAACAGG
rnacentral:rRNA from 1 species